GCACCUUGUCCUCGUGAGAAAGCUGGCUGAGUUUGUGGUGUCUCUAGAUUAGCAGAUCCUAAAUAUGGAGGUAUUUUCUUCAGGAGCCUGAGAUGGCUUCCUUAUAGUAAGAUCUGUUCUUCCCACCGCACUUUCCUUCCUUUUUAAAAAUCUUAACUCAAUUUCUGUUCUUCCGUCAUAUGUAAUCCUAUGCCACUCAAAAAAGUUGAGAUUCACAGCUCCUUCAAAUUACUAAAGAUUAAGUAGAGAAUUUAUUGAAUAUAUUUCACAUUGCUAAAGUUUCUGCAGAAGGAAGAAACAUUGAGGAUAAAAUUACUCAGGAAAGCUUGAUGAAGGAUCUGAAGUUCACUAUGGACUUUGAAGAAUGGGCAGAGUUAGCAUCAGCAGAAAGCAAAUAGGGAGGACAUUCUAAAAAAGAAGAUUAAAUGAUUAGAAUAUAAACCUCUUUAUAUCAAAGUAACUUAUAGCUAUAUUAGUGUCCAUAGCAUCUAGUACUUUCUACACAACGCAUCUUCUAAGUGAUUCAGUUGACUUGAAGGUAAAAACAAUGAAGGAAAUAGUGAAAUGGCAUGUUCCUGGAUGGUAGGAAUCUACUUGGGAGGAAUAUAAGGUUCAUAAAUUCUAGUUUAAUGGUUCUUGCCACACAUAAUUAUCCAAAAUACAUUUUGCAUAAUUGAUUAUGUGUUUUAGUUGUUGAAUAUUUAUUGAUUAAUCUUUAAUGUAUAGUGGUCUCUGUUAAACUCCUUGGUAGGAGAUUAGGCAGACAGAUUAACUUAGAAUAUGGUUUUACUAUGAUAAUUUGAAAUAUUUUGGGAAAGAGACAUAUACAUAUGUACCCUCACUAAAUAAAAUUACAUGCAAACAUUAAUUAAAGAAAAUGUGAAUAUGCUGGCAGUGAAUAAUAAAGCUUCAAUCAAAACUUAAUGAGUUUUCAGGAAUAAGUUUCCUUGAGGUGAAAGAGAGUAAAAGGAAUAAUUUGAAUAAAGAUAGAG
rnacentral:lncRNA from 1 species